rnacentral:rRNA from 1 species
AGAUGCCAUUCGUCCUGUUGAGCCUGGAGCGUGAGUCUAAAGAGCGCGGUUUUGCCUGCCUGUUGUUGGACGGUAAUAUCGGAGAGUAACUGUUCAAGGGCGUGCUCAUAUCCUACCAGAAAGGAACGGCUUACUACGUGCCAGCAGCCGCGGUAAUAAG